CUCGUACGAUCACCGAAGUUAAGCAACGUCGACCCUGGUCAGUACCUAUAUGUGUGACCGCUUGGGAAUACCAGGUGCUGUAAG